rnacentral:rRNA from 1 species
CUACGGGUUGCACCAGUGAGGAAUAUUGCACAAUGGGGGGAACCCUGAUGCAGCAACGCCGCGUGGAGGAUGACGCAUUUCGGUGUGUAAACUCCUUUUAUAUGUCAAGAAAAUGACGGUAGCAUAUGAAUAAGCACCGGCUAACUCCGUGCCAGCAGCCGCGGUAAUACGGAGGGUGCAAGCGUUACUCGGAAUCACUGGGCGUAAAGGACGCGUAGGCGGGUUGGAAAGUCAGGUGUGAAAUCCUACAGCUUAACUGUAGAACUGCACUUGAAACUUCUAAUCUAGAGUAUGGGAGGGGGAGAUGGAAUUAGUGGUGUAGGGGUAAAAUCCGUAGAUAUCACUAGGAAUACCGAAAGCGAAGGCGAUCUGCUGGAACAUAACUGACGCUGAGGCGUGAAAGCGUGGGGAGCAAACAGGAUUAGAUACCCGUGUAGUC